rnacentral:rRNA from 1 species
UACGGGACAAAGCAGGGGACCUUCGGGCCUUGCGCUAUUGGAUGAGCCUAUGUCGGAUUAGCUAGUUGGUAGGGUAAAGGCCUACCAAGGCGACGAUCCGUAGCUGGUCUGAGAGGAUGACCAGCCACACUGGAACUGAGACACGGUCCAG